UACGUAGGGUGCAAGCGUUGUCCGGAAUUAUUGGGCGUAAAGAGCUCGUAGGCGGUUUGUUGCGUCGGCUGUGAAAUCCCGAGGCUCAACCUCGGGUCUGCAGUCGAUACGAGCAAACUAGAGUGUUGCAGGGGAGACUGGAAUUCCUGGUGUAGCGGUGAAAUGCGUAGAUAUCUGCAGGAACACCCGUGGCGAAAGCGGCGCGCUGGACCACUACUGACGCUGAGGAACGAAAGCUAGGGGAGCAAACAGG
rnacentral:rRNA from 1 species